rnacentral:rRNA from 1 species
GAACGCUGGCGGCAGGCUUAACACAUGCAAGUCGAACGAUAUAGUGGCAGACGGGUGAGUAACGCGUGGGAACGUACCUUUCACUACGGAAUAGCUCUUGGAAACGAGUGGUAAUACCGUAUACGCCCUCCGGGGGAAAGAUUUAUCGGUGAAAGAUCGGCCCGCGUUAGAUUAGCUAGUUGGUAGGGUAAUGGCCUACCAAGGCGACGAUCUAUAGCUGGUCUGAGAGGAUGAUCAGCCACACUGGGACUGAGACACGGCCCAGACUCCUACGGGAGGCAGCAGUGGGGAAUCUUGCACAAUGGGCGAAAGCCUGAUGCAGACCAUGCCGCGUGAAUGAUAGAAGGCCUUAGGGUUGUAAAAUUCUUU